AUACAGAGGGGGCUAGCGUUGUUCGGAAUUACUGGGCGUAAAGCGCGCGUAGGCGGCUUAUCAAGUUAGGCGUGAAAGGCCUGGGCUCAACCCGGGAACUGCGCUUAAUACUGGUAGACUUGAGUCCGGGAGAGGGUGGCGGAAUUCCCAGUGUAGAGGUGAAAUUCGUAGAUAUUGGGAAGAACACCAGUUGCGAAGGCGGCCACCUGGACCGGUACUGACGCUGAGGUGCGAAAGCGUGGGGAGCAAACAGGAUUAGAUACCCCAGUAGUCC
rnacentral:rRNA from 1 species